GUUUACAAUGUGCAGCCGUCCCAAGAAUUGCUGCACAUACUCUGGGGAGACAGCCCUGAUGGAAAGGGGGCUCGAGGCAGACAGAGGAUGAAGUUUCCAGCAGAUCAACCUGAUACUCAUGGACAUGACCCCGGUUGCAAGCCCGGCACCCUCCCAGCCCGCGCUCUGUAGCUCUGUGGCAGCUCUGAGCUGAGAGGAUGACUCAGAUUCCUGGGGUUAAGGAUUUGCUUUCAGGUAGAGCUGCUGAAAUUCAGACCCACUGCCCCCACCCCUGUGUUCUUUCCCUGAGGCGUUAUGUCCUGUCUUCUGAGACUUGAUUUUCUCUUUCCUGUCCCCCUCCUUGAAGCCCCUGCUCAGGGCUAAUGGUGCCUGUGGGGGGGUGGUUCCUCCCUCACCUUUAUCCUGGAUGCUCAUUUGUUCUCUGUCCUUCUGACCACCACCCCCCCACACACACACAGCAAUGUCACUUUAUCCACCCUUUAAACUGCCCUACAACAUUCCAUACUCAUUCUUCCCUCCAGUGUGUCCCCAGACCUCCUCAUCCCGCCUCCCCCCCCCCCCCGCCCCCUUAGGGGCCAUGCAUUUGCUCCUGCAUUCAGGUGGGCUCCCAGCAAGCACUUGCUGAGUCCAGCACUGUGCUGGGAACUCUGGUACAGGGUGAGCAGGCCAGCCAUGGUCCCUUGUCCUCUGGCAAAUUAGAUUCUGUUGGGAAAGACUAACCAUAAGCAAGUAAACAAAUAAAUGAACAAGAUAAUUAUAGAUGUGAUAAGUGCUUUGAAGAACAUAAAGCGGGUAAUAUAAGAGGAAUUAAGUGGAGGAGGUGUGCACGACUUUGACGGUGUUAGAAAACGCUUCUCUGAGGGGUGAUGUGUGAGCCAAGCUCUGGGUGGUGAGAGGGAGCCCCCAGGCUGGGGGGCAGGGGGGCAGUUCUUAAUGCUCUGAGUGUGACCAGUGGUGAGGUAGGAGGUGCACAGGCCCUGACAGGUGACAGGCGCUGGGCUGUGUUCUAAGAGCCAGGAUUACAGGGUCGGUCUGUGCAUUCACAGACCCAGCAGCCUUCACCUCCCUUCCUGCUGUAAGUCUGGUCCUCCUCUGCCCCCUCACAUUCGGGAUGAGAAUCUGUUUCCAUGUCCACCCCCCGCAGCGAGAACAAGCCUUCCAAACAGACGAUUUCCUAUGCUGUGCCGGGCACCAGAUGCAGCUAACUGGCUUCUGUUCUCACACUUUGAGGUCACGGAAUCCCAGAUGGGUAGAGCGUUAGAACUGACAGGGACGUUAUCACCACGUAGCCUAAUGCUUACAUUGCAGAUGAGAAAACUGGGGUCCACAGGAGCGACUGUGCUCAUCCAGGGUAGCUGGGGUGCGAGCAGGCCAGCCCUUCUAGUUCCCAUCCCUCAAGAGUGCAGGAAGGUUGCUGCCUGUCUCUUCUACACUCAUUUCAAAUAAAGAGGUGCUCACUGACCACUCUUGUAUGUUCAGGGUGAGGCCCUGCUUGACCAGGAGUAGAAGGAGCGAAUGAUGAGGUCCAGGCACACUAACACUGAUGUAUGACAAUCAGCAUGAUGGCCACAGCCUGUGGACAGCAAGAGAGACACCAGACAGUCAUGUGCAUGUCCACACAGUGCCGUGAAGGGAGCUGCAGGUGCUGAGGACCAAGUCAGGGAGCAGAAACUACUCUCUGUCUGGUCUGGUCGGCGGCAAGGGAUUCAAUACAAGGAACCACGUGAUAAGAGAAUCAUGGAAAGGCCUGGAAGGUCACAAGGCUCUAGCUGGACUCUUGGUUUCAAGGUCAGUCAGUCAGAAGCACUCCCAGAAGCACUGCCCCCACUCCCACGUGUCUGC
rnacentral:lncRNA from 1 species